rnacentral:lncRNA from 1 species
GCCUGCCUCACUUUAGCAUCCAGAUGAGAGGGAGAGGAGGCCACCGCGGUUGACCUUCAUGCUCCAGGCUGCCUACCUCCAAUCACGUGCAUGGGAGAAGUCGUCGGUGCACGCCACCCGCGUACGAGGAUUUGUAGUGUGGAAUAGUUGAUCGGAGUAUGGGAGAUCUCUCAUCGGAGCUCCAUCAUCGCCGCCGAGUUGCCCUUCUCGUGGUCUGCACGGCCAUGACCUUAAUUGCUGGUGAGAUAAUGGCCCUGAUAUUUGUUGUCUUCCUUACUUCGAGUAGCGUCUGUUAGAUUUGGAUUUAGGUGACCGGGUCACAUAAUUCAUGUUCUCCGGUGAGGUGCCCAUCGCUCCUGCUUGGGCAUCGCCACGGAGGAAACCAGCGCCGCCUGUCGGGUAGCAGAGAGGAGGAAGAAGGAAUGGCAGCAGUUGUCGAUCAGUGGAAGCAUGGUCAGGAUUAAAAGUAGCGUACUCAAUUUGUGUUUUAAAUCUCAACAGUUGAUCGAUAAUCCGAGGGUCGGGAUUGAUCGGGGUCGUGUUGGCUUUCGAUCCAUUGAUUUCCUAUCCUAUGGCCAACAUGGGUAUACCGGUUCAUAAUCUCGUGGAUCUAAUCUGGGCUGUUUGGAUUAGAUCGGGCGGCUCAAGGUGCUCGAUACCCCUUCGUACCGAGAUAAGUGCAAAAAAAACCCUCGAUGAAGUAUAAAAUAAACCUAUCGCCCCUCCUGUAAUAAUAUCUUACACCUAGGUCCCUGGUUUUUAUAAAACCAUCCCUCAAAGUUAUUUUCAGUAUGAAAGAUUAAUAAUAAAUCACCCCAAAACUUAUUUGGUUCAUAACUUUUUCAUUUUAUAUCCGUUCUGAUUUGUUCCCGUCGCGUUAGCUUCAUAACGAUAUUGCCUACACGUUAACUACCCUAUUUUUUUUAUGUAACAAUAAUUAUCUAAUUUAUUUAAUCUAUAUGGGGUUAGAGGUUCUAAUGCGGGCAAUAUGAUAUUCUGAUCCUGUAAUUAGAAUCUGACUAAAAUAUAGUAUCUAAUCAAGUAAUAAUUUAGACUAAAGUUGAAUUAACUAUUACUUUAUAUUAUCUUUCUCACAUGAUUUAUAAAAUCAAUCUAAUAUCUAGUAUUAAUUGUUUAAUCACAUAGAUCUUGCGAAAACCAUAUCUCCUCAAUUGUGACUCUGAUUUUAGUGGUUCUCGGACCUGUGAUCUCAUAGCAGCGCGUAGAAUAUUCUUACGUUGUUUGUUCAUAUGCUUUGGUAAUGUUACCAUAUCCAUUAUUUGCUUCAAUGUAUGUAUUGCUACGAAUAGAGGCGAGGUGACGAGGACCUUGAAGCCCCAGUUUUAGGUCAACAUCUGAACAACAGAGUUAUCACAAGUAUAAGGCAAGUUGUGCCCUUGAUCAGUCUUCUUUACCUAAUAAUGUUCCUGUUAAUCACUAUGACAUGCUCAGGCUAAUUUGAUGGGACCUAAUAGGUUACCCUAGUUUUGUUCACUCUACACCUUGCAAACCAAUGAACUAUUGGGUAGACUUGCUAUUUCUCUACCUGGUUUUGGGAUUAAUGUUAGACUGAACUAUGAUCAUGUUCCACUAUUAUUGUUGGUUUAAUUAUUGGUCACGAUAAUACCAUUGUGUUAAUUGAAACAUGGAGCUUAAUUUGAGAUAGCAGUGCUACCACAAGGGUGGAAUGGGACACCCUUGGCUGAAUAAUUAGGAAAGCUAGUGUGAGUUAAUCCAUUCCCGUAAGGGGCAA